UAGGGAAUAUUGCACAAUGGGCGAAAGCCUGAUGCAGCCAUGCCGCGUGUGUGAAGAAGGCCUUAGGGUUGUAAAGCACUUUCAGUAAGGAAGAAAAAGCAGGGUUAAUACCCCUGUCUUAUGACAUUACUUACAGAAGAAGCACCGGCUAACUCCGUGCCAGCAGCCGCGGUAAUACGGAGGGUGCGAACGUUAAUCGGAAUUACUGGGCGUAAAGCGCGCGUAGGCGGUUUAUUAAGUGGGAUGUGAAAGCCCCGGGCUCAACCUGGGAACUGCAUUCCAAACUGACAAACUAGAGUACGAGAGAGGGGGGUAGAAUUCAGAGUGUAGCGGUGAAAUGCGUAGAUAUUCUGAGGAAUACCAGUGGCGAAGGCGGCCCCCUGGCUUGAUACUGACGCUGAGGUGCGAAAGCGUGGGGAGCAAACAGG
rnacentral:rRNA from 1 species